rnacentral:rRNA from 1 species
AUGGUUAAAUAUCUCUUGGGUGAUAAUAUAGAUGGGCAUGUUAUUUACUUAUGUAAUGAAGCUGCUAAUAUUGCUAGACCAGAUGCUAAGAUACAUAGACCUAUUGUAGGCAUGCCUGUUAUUUCUAUUAAAAUAGGAGAUCGUUGUAAUCAUGUCUUAUGUGAUAUGGGUGCUAGUGCUAGUGCAAUACCUCAUUCCUUAUAUGAAGAAAUUAUGCAUGAUAUUGCACCCGCUGAGUUAGAAGAUAUUGAUGUCACUAUUAAGCUUGCCAAUAGAGAUACUAUUACACCAUUUGGGAUUGUUAGAGAUGUUGAAGUCUUAUGUGGGAAAGUUAAAUAUCCUGCUGAUUUUCUUGUUCUUGGUUCCCCACAAGAUGAUUUUGGUAGACCCUUCUUGAACACUAUUAAUGCUAAGAUUGAUUGUGAAAAGGAUGUUGUUACAAUUGGUUUGGGGGAUAUGAAACAUGACUUUAAUUUUGUUAAAUUUCGUAGACAACCCCGUGAUAAAGAAUUGCCUAGUAAGGAUGAAAGUAUUGGUCUUGCUUCUAUUGCCGUGCCUCCUACUGAUCCGUUAGAACAAUAUUUUCUAGACCAUGAAAAUGAUAUGUUUAUGAAUGAAAGAAGGGAAAUAGAUGAAGUAUUCCUUAAAUAG